rnacentral:rRNA from 1 species
GGUUAAGCGACUAAGCGUACACGGUGGAUGCCCUGGCAGUCAGAGGCGAUGAAGGACGUGCUAAUCUGCGAAAAGCGCCGGCGAGGUGAUAUGAACCUUUGACCCGGCGAUGUCCGAAUGGGGAAACCCAGUGUGUUCCGACACACUAUCGUUAACUGAAUACAUAGGUUAACGAGGCGAACCGGGGGAACUGAAACAUCUAAGUACCCCGAGGAAAAGAAAUCAACCGAGAUUCCCCCAGUAGCGGCGAGCGAACGGGGAGCAGCCCAGAGUCUGAAUCAGCUUGUGUGUUAGUGGAAGCGUCUGGAAAGUCGCACGGUACAGGGUGAAAGUCCCGUACACGAAAGCACACAGGCUGUGAACUCGAAGAGUAGGGCGGGACACGUGGUAUCCUGUCUGAAUAUGGGGGGACCAUCCUCCAAGGCUAAAUACUCCUGACUGACCGAUAGUGAACCAGUACCGUGAGGGAAAGGCGAAAAGAACCCCGGCGAGGGGAGUGAAAAAGAACCUGAAACCGUGUACGUACAAGCAGUGGGAGCCUCUUUUAUGGGGUGACUGCGUACCUUUUGUAUAAUGGGUCAGCGACUUAUAUUCUGUAGCAAGGUUAACCGUAUAGGGGAGCCGAAGGGAAACCGAGUCUUAACUGGGCGUUAAGUUGCAGGGUAUAGACCCGAAACCCGGUGAUCUAGCCAUGGGCAGGUUGAAGGUUGGGUAACACUAACUGGAGGACCGAACCGACUAAUGUUGAAAAAUUAGCGGAUGACUUGUGGCUGGGGGUGAAAGGCCAAUCAAACCGGGAGAUAGCUGGUUCUCCCCGAAAGCUAUUUAGGUAGCGCCUCGUGAACUCAUCUUCGGGGGUAGAGCACUGUUUCGGCUAGGGGGCCAUCCCGGCUUACCAACCCGAUGCAAACUACGAAUACCGAAGAAUGUUAUCACGGGAGACACACGGCGGGUGCUAACGUCCGUCGUGAAGAGGGAAACAACCCAGACCGCCAGCUAAGGUCCCAAAGUCAUGGUUAAGUGGGAAACGAUGUGGGAAGGCACAGACAGCCAGGAUGUUGGCUUAGAAGCAGCCAUCAUUUAAAGAAAGCGUAAUAGCUCACUGGUCGAGUCGGCCUGCGCGGAAGAUGUAACGGGGCUAAACCAUGCACCGAAGCUGCGGCAGCGACGCUUAUGCGUUGUUGGGUAGGGGAGCGUUCUGUAAGCCGUUGAAGGUGUCCUGUGAGGGGUGCUGGAGGUAUCAGAAGUGCGAAUGCUGACAUAAGUAACGAUAAAGCGGGUGAAAAGCCCGCUCGCCGGAAGACCAAGGGUUCCUGUCCAACGUUAAUCGGGGCAGGGUGAGUCGACCCCUAAGGCGAGGCCGAAAGGCGUAGUCGAUGGGAAACAGGUUAAUAUUCCUGUACUUGGUGUUACUGCGAAGGGGGGACGGAGAAGGCUAUGUUAGCCGGGCGACGGUUGUCCCGGUUUAAGCAUGUAGGCGGAGGUUCCAGGUAAAUCCGGUUCCUUGUUAACGCUGAGGUGUGAUGACGAGGCACUACGGUGCUGAAGUAACAAAUGCCCUGCUUCCAGGAAAAGCCUCUAAGCAUCAGGUAACAUCAAAUCGUACCCCAAACCGACACAGGUGGUCAGGUAGAGAAUACCAAGGCGCUUGAGAGAACUCGGGUGAAGGAACUAGGCAAAAUGGUGCCGUAACUUCGGGAGAAGGCACGCUGAUAUGUAGGUGAAGCCCCUGCGGGUGGAGCUGAAAUCAGUCGAAGAUACCAGCUGGCUGCAACUGUUUAUUAAAAACACAGCACUGUGCAAACACGAAAGUGGACGUAUACGGUGUGACGCCUGCCCGGUGCCGGAAGGUUAAUUGAUGGGGUUAGCGGUAACGCGAAGCUCUUGAUCGAAGCCCCGGUAAACGGCGGCCGUAACUAUAACGGUCCUAAGGUAGCGAAAUUCCUUGUCGGGUAAGUUCCGACCUGCACGAAUGGCGUAAUGAUGGCCAGGCUGUCUCCACCCGAGACUCAGUGAAAUUGAACUCGCUGUGAAGAUGCAGUGUACCCGCGGCAAGACGGAAAGACCCCGUGAACCUUUACUAUAGCUUGACACUGAACACUGGUCCUUGAUGUGUAGGAUAGGUGGGAGGCUUUGAAGCGUGGACGCCAGUCUGCGUGGAGCCAACCUUGAAAUACCACCCUUUAAUGGCUGGUGUUCUAACGUAGACCCGUGAUCCGGGUUGCGGACAGUGUCUGGUGGGUAGUUUGACUGGGGCGGUCUCCUCCCAAAGAGUAACGGAGGAGCACGAAGGUUAGCUAAUCCUGGUCGGACAUCAGGAGGUUAGUGCAAUGGCAUAAGCUAGCUUGACUGCGAGAGUGACGGCUCGAGCAGGUGCGAAAGCAGGUCAUAGUGAUCCGGUGGUUCUGAAUGGAAGGGCCAUCGCUCAACGGAUAAAAGGUACUCCGGGGAUAACAGGCUGAUACCGCCCAAGAGUUCAUAUCGACGGCGGUGUUUGGCACCUCGAUGUCGGCUCAUCACAUCCUGGGGCUGAAGUAGGUCCCAAGGGUAUGGCUGUUCGCCAUUUAAAGUGGUACGCGAGCUGGGUUUAGAACGUCGUGAGACAGUUCGGUCCCUAUCUGCCGUGGGCGCUGGAGAAUUGAGGGGGGCUGCUCCUAGUACGAGAGGACCGGAGUGGACGCAUCACUGGUGUUCGGGUUGUCAUGCCAAUGGCACUGCCCGGUAGCUAAAUGCGGAAGAGAUAAGUGCUGAAAGCAUCUAAGCACGAAACUUGCCCCGAGAUGAGUUCUCCCUGAGACUUUAAGUCUCCUGAAGGAACGUUGAAGACUACGACGUUGAUAGGUCGGGUGUGUAAGCGCAGCGAUGCGUUGAGCUAACCGAUACUAAUGAACCGUGAGGCUUAACCUU